UACGUAGGGUGCGAGCGUUGCCCGGAUUUAUUGGGCGUAAAGGGCGCGUAGGCGGCCACGCACGUCCGUUGUGAAAUCCCUCGGCUCAACCGAGGACGUGCAUACGAAACUGGUAGGCUCGAGUAUGGAAGAGGGUCGCGGAAUUCCCGGUGUAGAGGUGAAAUUCGUAGAUAUCGGGAGGAACACCAGUGGCGAAGGCGGCGACCUGGGCCAAUACUGACGCUGAGGUGCGAAAGCGUGGGGAGCAAACAGG
rnacentral:rRNA from 1 species